UUAGUAAAAAACUUGGAAGUAAAAACCAAAAAAUUAAAACAAAGCUAAUAUCAGUAGUUACAAUAUAUAGAAAAGCAAUUUAUCCUAACAUGUGCAAAUACUGAAGAUCACAAUCACUAAGAAAGAAAUAUGACUGGUAUAAAACUCUUAAAAGAGGACACCUACUCAGAAUCAUGAUAUAACACGGGUAGGAUCAAGAAAUCAUUCAGAACCUCAGAAGUGAAACCAAUGCAAAAUCAAGAAACGAGGAUCAACAAACAAUAUAAAAAUUUCAGUGGUCACAUUACUGAAGAGUCAAAAGGCAAUGAUCACAAGCCAUGUAAAUUUCAGAAUUAAAAGGCUAAGAUCAGCAUGAUAUCAGACCACUCAAAAAAUGAAUGAAUUCAAACCAGAAACACCCAAAGAAAAUAAGGGAUAUAGCAAGUAGAGACGACUACCUAACCUACUGCAGGAUGAGAUCUUGGAAAACAACUAAAAUUUAAAUGAAACAAAACAACUAACAUACAAAAGAAAUAAAGCAAUUAAAUAUAUACAAGCAACGACAGUGAUUAAACAUAGAAUACUUAGCUUUUGGUUCAUGCAGCCUUAAAUUUAUAUUCUUCCAGUUCCAUGAAUUUUUGGCUUCUUUUGGGAGGUUUUUUAACAUCUAAGGCAUUUUCCUUGAGUAUUUAAAGAAGAACACGGGUUCGGGGGGUUUGGUGCUUCUAAUACCCAACAAGGUCUCAGAUCUAAGUUUUUGUUGUGGUUAGCAGGGUUUGAGGGAUGUGGAUGGCAUGGUUGGGGAGGGGGAUGGAAGGGGAUUGUCUGAGGUCAGUUUGGCCAGAAUCCGAUGGGGUUUAUGUUUUAGGGUAUACUUCAAAUUGAUAUUCGAGGUGCUUCACUUGGAUUCGAAGGGUGUGAUAUGGACGGUUGGAAAGAGGAAGAUGAGGUGGUUCAGGGGUUUAACUUUGUACGGGUUUGGGGUUGGGUCGCCGGAGACGGUGGUUCUGGCGAUCCUUCUUUUGAAUAUUCGAGACGAUGGAGAGUUGUUUGAAAGGAAAGGAUGGCAGGACGGGGAAGGGGAGGUCUAGGUGGUCCUAUGGUGUAAAUUUGGGGCGAUUUGGUGACCGGCCACCGCCAUGAAACGAUUUCCGGCGGUGGCAUUAGGGUGGUUGCUGGGUGGUCAUGGGCGGUCAAAGGGCGGAGAAGGGAGGGUAUUACGGCGGUGUAUUCUGUACGAGGAAGAUAAAU
rnacentral:lncRNA from 1 species